UCUCUCCAUCUGCAAUUCUGCAUCUGUCCUCUCUUCGUCUUCGACCCUUCUUGUAAAAAAGUUCCUCAUUCUCCGCCGGCCGCCGCCUGCUUAGAUAAUAAUCUACCCAAAGAUCGUGGAUAAAUCAAUAGUAGCAUACCGCCAAGGUAAUUUUUCACCCCAAAAGAGACUAGUUAUCUGAAAGUUGGAUGUUAUUGUUGAUUGGUUUAUUAUGAGAUUUAGUUGUUGUUGCAUUCCUCACCUAAAGGUAAGUUUGCAAUAUUACAACUUGAGAUCUCGUGAGAAUAAUGUGAUGGUGAUAUUUAUGACUUAUUCUUGUUUUAUUUAUGCCCAUGGAGAUAUGAUAAAUAAAAUAUUUAUAUAUUGUUAUGUUGUUUAUAUAUAUAUGGUUUUGUUUAUAUUUUAAACUAUAAUAUUAAUCAUGAACAUUGAUUCUCUGAUCUGGAUGUUUGUAUGAGAUGGAAAUUAAGAAUUGAUAUUCCUUUUGAAUUAUUUCUUGUUCAUCUUACCAUACGACUCUCCACAUACAGUUGAUAGUUAAAUAUUACCUUUAACACUUAAAUUGACAAAUGAGAGUCAAUAGAUUGAUUUUUAUAUAUGGCUUCAAAGGCGAGAGAAUUUGUUAAACAUGAAAGUGCGAAUUUCCUUAUUAGCCUUGUCUUAUUUAGUUUCUUAAAGACUCAAUCUGCUUGUAAUGAGAAUAAGAGUAAUGUGUUGAAAUUGAAAUUAUUCAAUAAAGCUGUACAUUUUUUGUUUAAAGGAAGGUUACAAGAAAGUUAUUCUUGUAGUGCUUAAAUUAUUUAUUUAUUUAUUUAUUUUUAAUUUCCUUCCUAUAUGCGCUACAUAUAGUUGAAUAUCUAUUCCUUGGUCAUUUUUCUAAGAUUUGAAUAAAAAGAUGAAGUUUUUCUUCACGCUUGUUUUAGUAAUUUCGAAACAUUUUUUAAUGAAGGGAAAAUUGACAAGAUAGAAAAUUUUCCGCACAUAAAAGUUUAAUUUAUCUACAAAAACAUUACCAUAUUCUUGACAAUUUUUACCUCAUUUAAGGGGAAAGUAUUUACUAAAUUGAUUUUUCUUUGUAGCAUGUUCAUAUACGAGUCUUGAAAAGUUUUAAAGUGUUAAAAAAAAAAAAAAAAAAAAAUAAGCUUUAAUUGAAGGUUUUAAAAUCUAUAAAGAAAUUUUGAGGUGAUAAGUAUUAUGACGAACAUGAAAUUAUUAUUUAUAAUAGUUGUUUGCAAAAUACUUCGUAUGCCUUGUACGCCUGAUACUUCGUAUGCCUUGCACACCUGAUAGAAUGAGAUGACUGAGAGACAAAGUCGCACUAGUAAAGGUAUGGUAAAAUAUUGAUGGCAUGGAUUCUAUGAAAUGUAAAUGUUUGUGAUAGUUUUUUAACUUUUUUCUUAAUAAAAUUGUACUAAUUGGUUAUAGAUGAGUGUUUAAAGCUAAAAGAGAUGAAAAAGCAUAUUAAACUGCUUUUAAGGCUAGGUUACUAGCUAUGAGCUUCAGAUAAAGGUAUAUAUAUUUCAUAGAAAUGCCAUUUCUCUUAUGUAUUCUAAUGUCUUUUUUAUAAAGAUUUUUAUACCAUUAGUAUUUUACCUUAAACUUCAUAUUUUAUACUCAAUAUAUAUUAUAAGGUCAGUGGGAGGAAAUUUUAAUUUUCUUUUGGGUGACUGUAUUGGAUAGAUUUUCUAUAAUCUAGAUAUAGAUCAUUGAAUGAUAAUAAAGAAACUUAUGAGAUAGUUAUUAAAGACUAUAUGUUUUAUGCUUACAUGUGGUAAAUCUAAUCUCUUGAGAGGUAAUUAGAUAUUGUGAGCUGGUCAUACCAAAUGUCUCAAUUUUUAACAAGUUUUUUUAUAUGUUUUAUAAUGGCUUCUAGGGUUGUUUCGGAUAAAUUCUUGAACUGCUGUAUAUACUAUGUUCUCAGAGAUACGGUCAAGAUUUUUAAUUAUGGUUAAGUACAUGCUACAGUAGUUGCUAUGGCUGAUUCAUUAACCAAGAUGUUAAACUUGUUAAUUACUAUAUACAUGUGAUAACAUAUAAUUUGAGUUUUUGAUGCACUUGGUUAGUGGGAGUUUUUUUCAGUCUAUUACAUAAUAUUAUUUGAAUUUGUAAUAAACUGUAUAUCAUAUGGUUAGUGAAAUACAACAUUGUGUCUCAAGAAUAAAGUUUCUCUUGAGAAUGGUAUUUGAAUAGAUAUGUUUCAUGGUUGGAUAUCUUAAGGUUUAUUGGUUGAAACUUACGGGCUGCGUUGGAAGCUGUGAGAUUUCUCUUGUUUUUUUCUUAAAGCAUAAAGGUUAAAGAUGAAUCAUCAAGAGGACUGACAGGAAAUAGCACAUGUUUAUGAUCAUCUUGUUGGGUGCUAUUUCUUGCCACACUCCUAGAUUACUGUUCCAUGUGAUUUGAUUAUUAGUAAUUGUAAUCAUGAAUUGAUUUUAUGUCAAUUAAAGAUGUAAAGAUUGUCUUGGUUCAUUAUUGAUUAUUGAUAAUCAUAUUGACUGGAUUGUUGGUCAAA